rnacentral:rRNA from 1 species
GAUGAACGCUGGCGGUGUGCCUAAUACAUGCAAGUCGAGCGAACAGACGAGGAGCUUGCUCCUCUGACGUUAGCGGCGGACGGGUGAGUAACACGUGGAUAACCUACCUAUAAGACUGGGAUAACUUCGGGAAACCGGAGCUAAUACCGGAUAAUAUAUUGAACCGCAUGGUUCAAUAGUGAAAGACGGUUUUGCUGUCACUUAUAGAUGGAUCCGCGCCGCAUUAGCUAGUUGGUAAGGUAACGGCUUACCAAGGCAACGAUGCGUAGCCGACCUGAGAGGGUGAUCGGCCACACUGGAACUGAGACACGGUCCAGACUCCUACGGGAGUCAGCAGUAGGGAAUCUUCCGCAAUGGGCGAAAGCCUGACGGAGCAACGCCGCGUGAGUGAUGAAGGUCUUCGGAUCGUAAAACUCUGUUAUUAGGGAAGAACAAAUGUGUAAGUAACUAUGCACGUCUUGACGGUACCUAAUCAGAAAGCCACGGCUAACUACGUG